AACGAACGCUGGCGGCGUGCCUAACACAUGCAAGUCGUGCGAGAAAGUUCCUUCGGGAGCGAGUAAAGCGGCGCACGGGUGAGUAACACGUAGGUAACCUGCCCCCCAGUCUGGAACAACUAGAGGAAACUCUAGCUAAUGCCGGAUGAGACCACGAUCCCUUCGGGGGUUGCGGCCAAAGAUGGCCUCUACUUGUAAGCUAUCGCUGAGGGAUGGGCCUGCGGGCCAUUAGCUUGUUGGUGAGGUAACGGCUCACCAAGGCUGUGAUGGCUAGCUGGUCUGAGAGGAUGGACCAGCCAACACUGGGACUGAGACACGGCCCAGACUCCUACGGGAGGCAGCAGU
rnacentral:rRNA from 1 species